AGUGAACGCUGGCGGCGUGCCUAAUACAUGCAAGUCGAACGGAGUGGCGCACGGGUGAGUAAUAUAUAGCUAAUCUGCCCCUUGCUGGAGGACAACAGUUAGAAAUGACUGCUAAUACUCCAUAGCAAGGGAUGAGACUAUAUCGUAUCAGCUAGUCGGUGGGGUAACGGCCUACCGAGGCUAUGACGCGUAACUGGUCUGAGAGGAUGAUCAGUCACAUUGGAACUGAGACACGGUCCAAACUCCUACGGGAGGCAGCAGUAGGGAAUAUUGCGCAAUGGGGGAAACCCUGACGCAGCAACGCCGCGUGAGUGAUGACGGCCUUCGGGUUGUAAAGUACUUUCAGUCGGGAGGUAAUACCAUCAACGAUUGACGUUACCGACAGAAGAAGCACCGGCUAACUCCGUGCCAGCAGCCGCGGUAAUAC
rnacentral:rRNA from 1 species